AGCGAACGCUGGCGGCAGGCCUAACACAUGCAAGUCGAGCGCUCGUAGCAAUACGAGAGCGGCAGACGGGAGAGUAACACGUGGGAACGUACCCUUUGGUUCGGAACAACCCAGGGAAACUUGGGCUAAUACCGGAUAAGCCCUUACGGGGAAAGAUUUAUCGCCGAAGGAUCGGCCCGCGUCUGAUUAGCUAGUUGGUGGGGUAACGGCCCACCAAGGCGACGAUCAGUAGCUGGUCUGAGAGGANGAUCAGCCUCACUGGGACUGAGACACGGCCCAGACUCCUACGGGAGGCAGCAGUGGGGAAUAUUGGACAAUGGGCGCAAGCCUGAUCCAGCCAUGCCGCGUGGGUGAUGAAGGCCCUAGGGUUGUAAAGCCCUUUCGGCGGGAAGAUAAUGACGGUACCCGCAGAAGAAGCCCCGGCUAACUUCGUGCCAGCCGCCGCGGUAAU
rnacentral:rRNA from 1 species